UACAGAGACCUCGAGCGUUAUCCGGAGUUACUGGGCGUAAAGCGUCCGCAGGUGGUUAUGUGCGUCACUCGUAAAAUCUUGAUGCUCAACAUCAAGCUCGCGGGUGAUACGGCAUAACUAGAGGCCGGGAGAGGUAAGCGGAAUUGCUGGUGUAGCGGUCAAAUGCGUUAAUAUCAGCAAGAACACCAAAUGCGAAGGCAGCUUACUGGAACGCGCCUGACACUCAUGGACGAAAGCGUGGGGAGCGAAUGGG
rnacentral:misc_RNA from 1 species